rnacentral:misc_RNA from 1 species
AGGAGAUUUCCUUGGAAAUCUCCAAAAUAUAAAUCCCUAACCCCUUGCUCCCUUCAAUUCGCUGCUGCCAGACUCUCCUUCCCGAUCAUUGACUGUGGAAGCUUUUUUGCGUUUCACUUUCUUCCUUCGAACCGGUGCCAAGAACUAGUCCUAUAUCAUUCAGUAUUUUUCACUUUCACUUUUUCUUUGUCUCACUUUCUUCCUUUGAAUCGGCUAGAGUGUUCACUGUGGAUUGUCGACUUCCAGAAGCUCCAUUGUCCAAGCCAGGAACCUGAUUUCACAGAAGCCAAAGCAGAAGCUCGAUUGGUCGUCUGCUGGUGCAAAGUUACAACUGUUAUUGCUAAUAUAUUUCUCUGGGGGUUAGUCAUAAGAUGACUCAACC